CAGUCGCCACGGUAAUACGGAGGGUGCAAGCGUUAAUCGGAAUUACUGGGCGUAAAGCGUGCGUAGGCGGUUUGUUAAGUCUGCUGUGAAAUCCCCGGGCUCAACCUGGGAAUGGCAGUGGAUACUGGCAAGCUAGAGUGUGUCAGAGGAUGGUGGAAUUCCCGAUGUAGCGGUGAAAUGCGUAGAGAUCGGGAGGAACAUCAGUGGCGAAGGCGGCCAUCUGGGACAACACUGACGCUGAGGCACGAAAGCGUGGGGAGCAAACAGGAUUAGAUACCCGCGUAGUCCCUGUCUCUUAUAC
rnacentral:rRNA from 1 species